UCUUUACUGAAUUACCUCUUGACCUUAAAAGCAAAUUUUCUUGUUUUUUUCAGGCAUCAAUUUCUCAGUCAGAGGUGGACAGUGGAGGUACGUCCCCAGUUUCUGAUCCUGGUAUGAAGGACCAUCUAAUUUCUGUCACCGAGAGUGACAUAAAAUCAGGCUGUGAAAUUCAGUCGGACCGUAGCCAUCGAGAGUUUCCCACUGACGGAGAAGCAAAUGGAUCCACGAUACUCAGUUCUAUACCCUGCUCAGUGGAUCUGUCAGAAGACAGUGUUUCUAUACCCGAGGGUCUAAGUGUAUUUGAAGCAACCCAAGAGGAUUUUGGUCAGGUGUCCUCUGUUUCUAAACCAGGUGAGCAUUGAUUAACUUAAAUGUGAUGAAACAGUGACAUUGUCAUUUUUGUUGUGACCAAAUUAAUGUAGUUUAUGUUUACACUUUCAUUAUCUUGUUGACUUUGGAAGGGUUAUUUAAAAUCUUCUUUGU